UGGGGAACUAGUUGCACAAUGGGCGCAAGCCUGAUGCAGCCAUGCCGCGUGUAUGAAGAAGGCCUUCGGGUUGUAAAGUACUUUCAGCGAGGAGGAAGGUGUUGUGGUUAAUAACCGCAGCAAUUGACGUUACUCGCAGAAGAAGCACCGGCUAACUCCGUG
rnacentral:rRNA from 1 species